GGCAGGAAAUCACUCCCGGUGGGGUGGCCGGUCUUCAAAACCGGAUUGGGGGCGCCAGCGCUCCCUAGCAGGUUCGACUCCUGUUUUCUGCCGCCA
rnacentral:tRNA from 1 species